CACCUGAAUUACAACGCUGAUUCAGAUCUCUGUCUCAUUGAACUGGAGAUGGCUUCUGGGUAAAGACACUUGCUAUCAAAGUCUGACAGCCUGAAUACCAGCCCUAGAAUUACACAGUGAUUGGAAAGAACUGGCACUGAGGAAUUGUCCUCUGACCUCUGCAUGCACACACAUGAAUACAUAAAAUGAAAUAAGUGCCACAUACGCAUCUGACUCACGUCAAAACAGAAGACUGGACUCCUCCUAUAUGAAUGUGCUGGCAGGCAAUCUGGGUGACCUUUAAGAAUCAGUCAUUCCAAAUGGGCAUUGGAGCGGAGGGAGUAAGCCUGGAUGGCCUCACAUCCACAGACGCUGGCAAGGAGGCACAUCUUCAAUUACAAGCAGCACAUUUGUUUUUCAAACUGCCUGCCCAAACCUUCCAGUAUUUUCCAUAGACCUGCUGCAGAAAAUAACGCCAGCCUCAAGUUGAACAGGAUGUGAAAACUCUCUCUCCCUGUUUUGAGACAGUCUCCCUCCCAUGCUACAGCUCCGGAUGCUGGCCGCCUUUACUCAGCCCUGUGUGAUUUGCGUAAAUUGUUGUAGCAGCCAGAUAUCAAGAGCAAAUACUGGGCUAUCUUCUUCCCAUGUCAGUGAGUUUGUCCUUUGUCCCACGGCGGCUGGCACUGCACCACAGUUGGAGCUGGCCCUACACCAGGCUUAUUGGCUCACUAUGGGUGGAAGAGCCUACUUAGGAAGGAAGUGAUGUCACCAUCCAAUCAUUUUUCUGAUCAUUCCGGACACUGUUACCAUCUAUUGAUGUUUGCAUAGCGUUCAGUGGUGAGAACUGAUUUUAUAUGAAGGUCUACUUAUGAAAGGGUAUUUUCUGAUUCUUCCAGUUUCCAUCUGCACCUAGAGCUGAUCCUGUGCCACAGUGCUCCAUACCCAAAUAUGCCAGGAGAGAGAUGACUUCCCAGGAGUGUAGACAUACCUGUGAGCACAGGUAAGACCAACGCUUCUGCUCAAAUUUAAGGCCCAAGAAUGACCAGUCUAAGAGCCAUCAGGAGACAAGAACCAAGGAACAGUGGGGACAGGAUCCUUCCAGUUUCCAUCUGUGCCUGGAGCUGACCCUGCAUCACAGCUCUCCAUAUCCAAAUUCCUCCCAGAGAGAAC